rnacentral:lncRNA from 1 species
UUCCAUUCCUGCAGGAACUUGUCGCGGGUGCGGACUUCGUGGGUCUGGACAUAGAGUUCACAGGUCUGCGUUCAAACCUGUCCCGGCCCCAACAGAUCAGUCUCUUUGACUUGCCAUCUGAGUGGUAUCUGAAGACCCGCCAAAGUGUUCAGCAGUUUACAAUCUGUCAGAUUGGAUUGUCCAUGUUUUCCAGCGUUGAAGGAGAAUCAAACAAGCAUCUAGUGUACAGUUUCUGAAUCAGUAUGGCUUCGACUAUAACAAGUUCCUCAAAAACGGAAUCCCAUACAUGAAUGAAGAACAGGAGAAGAAAAUCAAGCACAGUAUCCUGAGAGGGAACUGGAGAGUCCGAAGCUCUCUGGAUAAAGACCAAAUCAAGGUGGUGAUUGAUAAGGUGACCCAGUGGCUGGACCUGGCUGAGGAAGGUGACCAGAUGACUCUGCCUGGCAUCUCUGGGUUCCAAGCCUUCGAGGUCCAACUGGUGCUGAGGCAGGCCCUCCCCAACAUCUGGACAGUGCUGAAAGAGGAGGGGGUAAUUGUGAAGAAAGUGAGCCAGCCACAUCGCUGGUACCUUGAGCAUGCCUCUUGUGACCAAGUCACCUGUUGGAAGGAGCAGAUUCUUCUCUCUGCAAGAGGCUUCUCUGUCUUUUUUCAGAUGUUGGUGAAAGCCCAGAAGCCCUUGGUAGGACAUAACAUGAUGACGGACCUACUGCAUCUCCAUGAGAAGUUCUUCCGACCUCUCCCAG